rnacentral:rRNA from 1 species
GACGAACGCUGGCGGCGUGCUUAACACAUGCAAGUCGAACGGAAAGGCCCUGCCUUUGUGGGGUGCUCGAGUGGCGAACGGGUGAGUAACACGUGAGUAACCUGCCCUUGACUCUGGGAUAACUUCUGGAAACUGCGUCUAAUACCGGAUAGGAGCUCCUGAUGCAUCGUGAGCAUCGGAAAGUUUCGGCGGUUGGGGAUGGACUCGCGGCUUAUCAGCUUGUUGGUGGGGUAGUGGCUUACCAAGGCGUUGACGGGUAGCCGGCCUGAGAGGGUGACCGGCCACAUUGGGACUGAGAUACGGCCCAGACUCCUACGGGAGGCAGCAGUGGGGAAUAUUGCACAAUGGGCGGAAGCCUGAUGCAGCAACGCCGCGUGAGGGAUGACGGCCUUCGGGUUGUAAACCGCUUUCGCCUGUGACGAAGCGUGAGUGACGGUAACGGGUAAAGAAGCACCGGCUAACUACGUG